rnacentral:rRNA from 1 species
AUUGAACGCUGGCGGCAUGCCUUACACAUGCAAGUCGAACGGUAACAGGGAGCUUGCUCCGCUGACGAGUGGCGAACGGGUGAGUAAUGUAUCGGAACGUACCUUUUAGUGGGGGAUAACGUAGCGAAAGUUACGCUAAUACCGCAUAUUCUCUGAGGAGGAAAGCAGGGGACCUUCGGGCCUUGCGCUAAUAGAGCGGCUGAUACCAGAUUAGCUAGUUGGUGAGGUAAAGGCUCACCAAGGCGACGAUCUGUAGCGGGUCUGAGAGGAUGAUCCGCCACACUGGAACUGGGACACGGUCCAGACUCCUACGGGAGGCAGCAGUGGGGAAUUUUGGACAAUGGGGGCAACCCUGAUCCAGCCAUGCCGCGUGAGUGAAGAAGGCCUUCGGGUUGUAAAGCUCUUUCGGCCGGGAAAAAAUCGCAUGGGCUAAUACCCUGUGUGGAUGAUGGUACCGGAAUAAGAAGCACCGGCUAACUACGUGCCAGCCGCCGCUGUAA